rnacentral:tRNA from 1 species
UCCCUGAUGGCUCAGAGGUUAAAGCAUCUGCCCGCAAUGCAGGAGACUUGGGUUCGAUCCCUGGGUUGGGAA